CAGCCGCCACGGGAAUACGUAGGUGGCAAGCGUUGUCCGGAAUUAUUGGGCGUAAAGGGCUCGCAGGCGGUUUCUUAAGUCUGAUGUGAAUGCCCCCGGCUCAACCGGGGAGGGUCAUUGGAAACUGGGAAACUUGAGUGCAGAAGAGGAGAGUGGAAUUCCACGUGUAGCGGUGAAAUGCGUAGAGAUGUGGAGGAACACCAGUGGCGAAGGCGACUCUCUGGUCUGUAACUGACGCUGAGGAGCGAAAGCGUGGGGAGCGAACAGGAUUAGAUACCCGCGUAGUCCCUGUCUCUUAUAC
rnacentral:rRNA from 1 species